rnacentral:rRNA from 1 species
UAGGGAAUCUUCCACAAUGGACGCAAGUCUGACGGAGCAACGCCGCGUGAGUGAAGAAGGUUUUCGGACCGUAAAGCUCUGUUGUUGGUGAAGAAGGAUAGAGGUAGUAACUGGCCUUUAUUUGACGGUAAUCAACCAGAAAGUCACGGCUAACUACGUGCCAGCAGCCGCGGUAAUACGUAGGUGGCAAGCGUUGUCCGGAUUUAUUGGGCGUAAAGCGAGCGCAGGCGGAAGAAUAAGUCUGAUGUGAAAGCCCUCGGCUUAACCGAGGAAUUGCAUCGGAAACUGUUUUCUUGAGUGCAGAAGAGGAGAGUAGAACUCCAUGUGUAGCGGUGGAAUGCGUAGAUAUAUGGAAGAAUACCAGUGGCGAAGGCGGCUCUCUGGUCUGCAACUGACGCUGAGGCUCGAAAGCAUGGGUAGCGAACAGGAUUAGAUACCCUGGUAGUCCAUGCCGUAAACGAUGAGUGCUAAGUGUUGGGAGGCUUCCGCCUCUCAGUGCUGCAGCUAACGCAUUAAGCACUCCGCCUGGGGGAGUACGACCGCAAGGUUGAA